rnacentral:lncRNA from 1 species
UCAUUGUAAAAAUGCAUUUUCUCAGGACUGUUAAAUAAAAUGUUCUGGGUCUCAUUUAUUCAGAUGGAUGAAAUCAAAGCCAAGGACAGGAUCAUUUUUUCCCUGGAAAAGGAGCUGGAAACCCAGACAGGUUAUGUACAGAAACUGCAGCUGCAGAAAGAGGCUUUGGAUGAACAGCUCUUCUUGGUGAAGGAGGCUGAGUGUAACAUGAGCAGUCCGAAGCGGGAGAUCCCAGGAAGGGCAGGAGACGGCUCUGAACACUGCAGCAGUCCCGAUUUACGAAGAAAUCAAAAAAGAAUAGCUGAAUUGAAUGCCACUAUAAGAAAAUUAGAGGACAGGAAUACCCUGCUUGGAGAUGAACGAAAUGAAUUGUUAAAACGUGUGCGGGAGACUGAAAAACAAUGUAAACCUCUCCUGGAAAGAAACAAGUGCCUCGCCAAAAGAAACGAUGAACUGGUGGUGUCUUUGCAGCGCAUGGAAGAGAAACUAAAAGCCGUUACCAAGGAGAAUUCAGAAAUGAGAGAAAAAAUAACAUCUCACCCACCUUUGAAAAAAUUAAAAUCUCUAAAUGACCUCGACCAAGCUAAUGAAGAACAAGAGACAGAGUUUCUGAAACUUCAGGUCAUUGAGCAACAGAACAUUAUUGAUGAGCUCACAAGGGUAGGUAGCGAUCCAUUUGUAAGCUCUAAGCUUUCUCAAGCACAGGUAGCCAACAAACCAACA